CUUGAAAAAGGGAGUUCAAGAAGAGCUUCGAAGAAGCUUUCUUGAUGGAGGGGAGUGGCAGACGGGUGAGUAACGCGUGGGAACAUACCCUUAUCUUCGGUACAACUCCGGGAAACUGGAGCUAAUACCGAAUGUGCCCUUAGGGGGAAAGAUUUAUCGGAUAAGGAUUGGCCCGCGUUGGAUUAGCUAGUUGGUGGGGUGACGCGCUCCCGAGGCGACGAUCCAUAGUUGGUCUGAGAGGAUGAUCCGCCACAUGGGGACUGAGACACGGGCCAAACUCCUACGGGAGGCAGCAGUGGGGAAUAUUGGACAAUGGGCGCAAGCCUGAUCCAGCCAUGCCGCGUGAGUGAUGAAGGCCUUAGGGUUGUAAAGCUCUUUCACCGGAGAAGAUAAUGACGGUAUCCGGAGAAGAGGCCCCGGCUAACUUCGUGCCAGCCGCCGCCGUAAUAC
rnacentral:rRNA from 1 species